GGCCGCGGGAAUUCGAUUCAGGCCUAACACAUGCAAGUCGAGCGAGGACUUCGGUUCUAGCGGCGGACGGGUGAGUAACGCGUGGGAAUGUGCCCUUCUCUACGGAAUAGCCCUGGGAAACUGGGAGUAAUACCGUUUACGCCCUAUUGGGGAAAGAUUUAUCGGAGAAGGAUCAGCCCGCGUUGGAUUAGGUAGUUGGUGGGGUAAUGGCCUACCAAGCCGACGAUCCAUAGCUGGUUUGAGAGGAUGAUCAGCCACACUGGGACUGAGACACGGCCCAGACUCCUACGGGAGGCAGCAGUGGGGAAUCUUAGACGAUGGGGGCAACCCUGAUCUAGCCAUGCCGCGUGAGUAAAGGGGGCCUUAGGGUUGUAAAGCUCUUUCAGCUGGGAAGAUAAUGAC
rnacentral:rRNA from 1 species